rnacentral:tRNA from 1 species
GGGUGCAUGGCUCAGUUGGUUAGAGCGCCACAUUCACAUUGUGGAGGUCAUAGGUUCAAGUCCUAUUGCGCCCACCA